rnacentral:rRNA from 1 species
GACGUAGGGGGCGAGCGUUUGUCCGGAUUUAUUGGGCGUAAAGAGCUCGUAGGCGGCUCAGAAAGUCGGGUGUGAAACCUUCAGGCUCAACCUGGAGACGCCACCUGAUACUGCUGUGGCUAGAGUCCGGUAGGGGAACACGGAAUUCCCGGUGUAGCGGUGAAAUGCGUAGAUAUCUGGAGGAACACCGGUGGCGAAGGCGGCAUCCUGGACCAAUUCUGACGCUGAGGAGCGAAAAGCCAGGGGGAGCAAACGGGG